UAGGGAAUCUUUGGCAAUGGGGGGAACCCCGACUGAGCAACGCCGCGUGAGUGAAGAAGGUUUUUGGAUUGUAAAGCUCUGUUGUUAAGGAAGAACGAGUGAGAGAAUGGAAAGAUCAUACUGUGACGGUACUUAACCAGAAAGGGACGGCUAACUACGUGCCAGCAGCCGCGGUAAUACGUAGGUCCCGAGCGUUGUCCGGAGUUAGUGGGCGUAAAGCGAGCGCAGGCGGUUAGAUAAGUCGGAAGAUAAAGGCCGUGGCUUAAGCCUUGUAGGCUUUGGAAACUGUUUGACUUGGGUGCAGAAGGGGAGGGUGGAAUUCCAUGUGUAGCGGUGAACUGCGUAGAUAUAUGGAGGAACACCGGUGGCGAGAGCGGCUCUCUGGUCUGUAACUGACGCUGAGGCUCGAAGGCGUGGGGAGCGAACAGG
rnacentral:rRNA from 1 species